rnacentral:rRNA from 1 species
AACGAACGCUGGCGGCAUGCCUAACACAUGCAAGUCGAACGAGACCUUCGGGUCUAGUGGCGCACGGGUGCGUAACGCGUGGGAACCUGCCCUUAGGCUCGGAAUAACUCCCCGAAAGGGGUGCUAAUACCGGAUAAUGUCUUCGGACCAAAGAUUUAUCGCCUUUGGAUGGGCCCGCGUUGGAUUAGCUAGUUGGUAGGGUAAAAGCCUACCAAGGCGACGAUCCAUAGCUGGUCUGAGAGGAUGAUCACACACACUGGGACUGAGACACGGCCCAGACUACUACGGGAAGCAGCAGUGGGGGAUAUUGGACAAUGGGCGAAAGCCUGAUCCAGCAAUGCCGCGUGAGUGAUGAAGGCCUUAGGGUUGUAAAGCUCUUUUACCCGGGAUGAUAAUGACAGUACCGGGAGAAUAAGCUCCGGCUAACUCCGUG